GGAUGUGAGGGCGAUCUGGUUGCGACAUCUGUCACCCCAUUGAUCGCCAGGGUUGAUUCGGCUGAUCUGGCUGGCUAGGCGGGUGUCCCCUUCCUCCCUCACCGCUCCAUGUGCGUCCCUCCCGAAGCUGCGCGCUCGGUCGAAGAGGACAACCAUCCCCGCUAGAGGAGGACCGGUCUUCGGUCAAGGGUAUACGAGUAGCUGCGCUCCCCUGCUAGAACCUCCAAACAAGCUCUCAAGAAAAUCUAAGGAAACGUUUCAUGCAAUAAGUAGACUGAUUAGAAAAUCCUUCAGCCACAAACAGUGAAAAUGCUUGCUAAA
rnacentral:snRNA from 1 species